rnacentral:rRNA from 1 species
AGAAUCAACGCUGGCGGCGUGCCUAACACAUGCAAGUCGCACGAGAAAGGGUAGCAAUACCUGAGUACAGUGGCGCACGGGUGAGUAACACGUGAAUAAUCUACCUCCGAGUGGGGAAUAACUGAGAGAAAUCUUAGCUAAUACCGCAUAAUACCCACGGGUCAAAGCAGCAAUGCGCUUGGAGAGGAGUUCGCGGCAGAUUAGUUAGUUGGCGGGGUAAUGGCCCACCAAGACGAUGAUCUGUAUCCGGCCUGAGAGGGCGCACGGACACACUGGAACUGAAACACGGUCCAGACUCCUACGGGAGGCAGCAGUGGGGAAUUUUGCGCAAUGGGGGAAACCCUGACGCAGCAACGCCGCGUGGAGGAUGAAGCCCUUGGGGUGUAAACUCCUUUCGAUCGGGAAGAUAAUGACGGUACCGAUAUAAGAAGCCCGGCUAACUUCGUGCCAGCAGCCGC